CCCAAGUCAUCUUGAAUCUAAUCAACUCUGCCCCCUCUUCCCUGAGGGACAAGAGGAGCUUCCUGUGUGAAUUCCCACCAACCCCAGGGAAGUGCUGGUGUGGUUGCUGGUGAUACCAGCUGCAGACAGACUCCUUCUCUAGAGUGAUGGCCGUUCUCCAACGGAGGUGUCAGAGACAGAGUGACUGGAGCUGUACUCGCUGUUUCGUGGCUCAAGCCCAGCCUCCUGAGCGCUGCGAUUACAGACUCUCUGGGAUCCUUCUGUCUACAAAGAUGCUAAUUCACAUUGGUUGUAGGAAAAGGAUGUGCGGGAGGAACUAUAAAAUCUGGAACCAACAGCAGACACCGUCUGGUGCCGUGACUCACAGUGUGGCUCUGCCCCUGAAGCCCAGUCAGUUCUGAAGCCCUGCAUGUUUCCUGAACUAUGGCUGUAGAUAAUGUUUACACAGAACUGAUAUCAAUAUGUCAAACACCCACACACACACACACCCCACAGUGCUGAGGAUGGAAUAGGCGCAGGGUCUUGAGUGUGCUAAGCAAGCCCUUUAUCACGGAGUCUCAACUCUGCACCAAUAUCAGUGUUCCACAGAUGUCGUUUCACAUGGGCUACCACGGAAACACCGGAAGGCACCCUACGGGCAGUGGAAGUAGUGGGCAACCCCAAGCAACUGAGGCCAAACAUCCUGCAUGUCCUGUGUGACACUUCAUCUUUGCAGAAGUGGCAUUUAUCAACAUGUCACUGUAUGGACACCUUGGGCUUUUCUCCCCUUUGGGGUGCAUGCCAUAUCACUACACCAGCCAGAAUACAAAUAGCUUCUUAAAAACU